GACAAGGGGGAGGUGCUGGAGCAAGCUGGAGGGCAGUGGGAGGAAGCUUACCUUGCCUUUAUCACUGCCAGCAGUGCCCAAGUGGCUCAUGAGUUACACAUCUGUGACCUCUGUGGACCUGCACAUGGAAAGGGCUGCAGGGGCAUGAGGCUGGCCUGUGCCCAGAUCAAGAAGCAUCUCUAGCUGAGGAUACUGUGGGGGUUCAGGGGAGGCCACUGGGAGCGCAGGUGCCUUUGGGAGGGAAAUACUUUGUUUACAGUGGAGGUAGUGUGGGACCCAAAGAUGCAGGAGUUGGGUCUUGGGGCAGCUUCGUCCCUGCUAGGUCUCAGUUUCUUCCCACAUUGAGGGGCUUGACCCAGGUGAUCAGCAGGGGCUCCCCCUGCUCAACAAGAGAUGUGUGCCAGUAGACAGGGUGACUGUUCUGCAGAGGUCCAGCGGUGAGGCAUGGGGAGAGGGUGGAUUUAUGUUGGGGUGUAACCUUGAGAACAAGCCGGGCCCACCCUGCCACCCUGCAGGUGUAGCCUGUAUGCAAGCCAGAUUGUUCUUGGCUCCCAGUCAUGUCUUCAAUAAAUGAAGCACUGACCCCAGCCUUCAAGGGUAGGGCUGAGGGAAGCUCCAGAAAACCCAGCCACACAUGAGCCCAAGGCCAAAUCCACACUGGGAGUCUCAAGGUGCAGGGUGUCUGGGAGACACCCACAGACUCCCAGAGACAAUGUGGGGGUGGGGGUGAAGCUUUCUCCGGCUGGUUCCACCAAAUGUGGUGGCUUGGAAGGUCUUGUGCUCUGGUUUUGCCAGAACCCCCUGUGGUUCCAUGAAGGUCCCUAGAAGGGUGUAGAACUGAUGGAGAGUGAGGACAUCCAGGAUGCCAUGGGCUUUCACGCUGACCCCGGACAUGGCAGCUCAUUAGCACUUAAAUCCUCUCCAGUGGUCACCAGCAAGUUCUUGUCCCUUGACUAGUGAGAACAGCUUUGCCUCAGGGCAGCCCUGAGUUGGUGCAAUGCUAUAUAACCUCACUCCAGAGACCCCUGCAUACCUGCCAGCCUCCUUCAGGGUCCAUGCAUUCUCGGUGCACUGAAGAUUCACCAAGACCCUUCCAGCACCUCCUCACUGGACCUCACCCAGUGCCAACUGGACUGGAUCCUCUGGACAGGGCCCUGGGAAAUUCCAAGGGCAGCCAAGGCUGUAUCAGACCCUAUCACAACAAAACCCUAGAGCAGGAAAUUCACAACUGCUGUCUGCUUCCUUUAUGGAGGAGACACCUGGAGCCAGGUAAUAACCACCUGCUCUGCGGGGUGCCUCAGGGAGGCUGAUGGAGACAGGUCACCUAUUGCGACCUGCAUGACGUCUCCCAGCUGCUGCAGGAUCCCCUUCAGCUGCAGUGGGAGCACACGUGUCCGCUCUGGAAGUCAGGUUCUAGUCAGGGGCUCUAGCACCUUGGCAGUUGGCCAGUGUCAAGUGGCCUGGUGGGGCCCAGCUCAGGUGCUCUCCACCUUCCACCUUUCUGGUCCCCAUCUCUUGCCCAGGACGAGGGUUCUUUCAGCAGCGAUCCUGAGGGAGUGAUGAAAUUCUUCAGAAUUAGUCCCGAACAGGACUUCAUGGUUACUCAGGCCAGAGAUGAGGCAAAGGGAGACACUGCGUUGACGCCCCACAGGUAGCUUUCUGACAGACUGCGAAGGCCCACACCAGCCCUGCUCUUGAGGGCCUGGAUGUAGGGCUGACACAGGGAUGCCUCUGAGGUUGGAUGGCUGCUCUGUGAGCAUGUGUGUCCCAAGUCAUACAGCCUGGCCACCCACUUCCCUCCAACUGCAGUCCUGACCCUGCAGACCCCAGUUGGCCUGCCCCUGUCCCCAACUGCAGCCCUAGUGCCACAUGCUAUUUCUGAGGAACAUCUCAACCCCUGCUUUCCCCACAGCCACUAUUUCCCUUCAGUAGCCAAACCUGUUACCCCCCUGCUCUCUCAGGCCUGCCUUUCAUUGUUCCAUCCCCCAGAAAUGCCCUCCUCCAGUCCCAUGAGGUCCCAGGCUGCUCUGUCAUUGGCCCAGCUCACAACAAACUCCUGGAUCCUAAGGAAGGAAGCUUCUUCCUCCCCAGCCCUUCUCCAUGGCCCCCGCCCUGGCCUCAUGUUAGUGGUGCGUGAUGUGUGGGUCCCUGCUCCCCCUCCAUUCUCCAGACACACAGCUCACUGCCGCUCCUUGGGCUGGUUUCAUUAUCAGGUACCAGGCCACACUGUCAGCCCAUUGACAACCAGAUAGGGUGGAAACAGGAAAGAUCAGACUGAAGGGCCUGGAGUCCAGGGCAAGUCUGCAUUCAUGCCCAGUCAGGGCAGUACCUACAAACAAGCACUCAGGCAUGACCAGGACAGGCAGGGACCCACAGGGAAAUGGAGGUGAGGCCAAACUCGGGUGGGGAGUAGACAGGAAGCUGAUGUCAAAGCCUCAGGAGAAAGACAAAAAGAUAUGCUCCCAGGGCUCAGGUGACCUUACGUGGGCACCAGGGGCUCAGGCCUGGCCCUCCUGGCCUAGUAUCCCACCCACACCUGGCAGUAAUGCCAGUCUGGCAGAGUGUUGAGCUCCCACUUCAGGAGAUGCCAUGUGAUGGCCAGGUUAAUGCUGUUGACCAGUUGUGGGUGAUGGAUGUGUCAUUCUGAAGGGGACGGGCACAGGGUGGUCCCAUGAAGUCCCUGCAUAGACUGGCCUCCUCCCUCAGUCAGCAAGCCUCACCAGGGGCCUCCUGGAUGCCAGCUCUGGUCUGAGUGGGAUAUGGCAUCGAACACAGCAAACAAGGUGAGAAUGGCUGGCUGUCCUUUCAGGAAGGCACCAGCAGACUCUGCUUGCUGGGCAUGUGGGACAAGGAAGCUGCAGAAACCGAGUCCGUAACUAAUGCAAAGUGGGAGCUAGUUGACAUCUAGAAGACCCAAGUUCUGACCAAGCCUCUGCACAUUCAAAUCACUCCUGAGGGUGCUGGGAGGCAGUGAAGGCUGGAGGGAGUGGGAGUAAGGGCCAGUCAGCAGUGACUUGACGCUGGUGGAGGGGACUUAGCAGUGCACAGAGUGAAGUAAAGGUUCUCCAGGCAGGGGCUGCAUGGCCUCGGCCCUCAGCUCUCCCAGAGGGAUGGCUGCCUACUGUGGGAUAGGCAAGCGGCAGGACUGCCCUUGGCACUGGGGAAGGGAUUCAUUUAGAGUUACAGUCAGGCCUGACAACUCCACUGCUGCCCAUUGCCAAAGGGUCCUUUUACAUGGGCAUCCAUCUGGGUCUGAGUGGAGGGUAGGGGUCCUGUGCAAUUUGCUGCUGUAAUGUUUGUCCCCCAGAGGUUGGGACUUCAUUAUUCAGUUGUUUCAUUGUCAGGUACCAGGCCACACUGUCAGCCCAUUGACUACCAGCUACAAGUUGGUAAAAAUGUAACAAGGUACCUUCUUGGGGACCUGGGGGGUGUUUUCCAGGACAAGCAGACUGGCCACCUUACAUACAGUGGGAGAUUCAAUAGGUGGUUUACUCCUUUUUCCAGAUCUGUUAUUUUCAUUGAGUGAUGGCUGCUUGUUAGGCAGUGUCCACUUUAUGCCAUAGUGGGGCUGCUGGAGAGGAACAGCACAUUGGAGGUUGGUCUCUAAUUGUCUACAGGUGCUGAGUCAUGAGCCAGUAAUUGGCACUCAAGAUGCCUAUACUUAGAGAGGUGUCUGUCAGGAAUUGCUGUAUUCAGAAUGCCAAGGACUUCAUCUGUAGAGGGAAUCAGUUCAUCAGAGGAUAGAAUUCUGCCUGGUGCUGAAUUUUGACCCAACUGCUGGUUGCUCAUGCAGGGUGGUUUGUGCCUCUGCACUUUUAUGUGUGGUGGCACCCUGAACAGUGAACUUCCCCUGAUGCCUCAUGAGCCUUAAUGGGGACAUGUGUAACACAUGUCUCUACAGCAGGACAUCGAAUGGGCCAGAAGGCUCAUAAGAUCAUGGUAAACUCACUGUCAGUGUUGCCCACUUCCUAUCAGCUACCUUGAGGUUUGCGAUUGCUUGUUGCAAGGACAGGGACCUAUGAGUUAGCCCUGCACUUCAGGAGCUGUGUCAGCCGUGGCUGGGGGCAGGAGAUCAUGCCAACUGCAGGCGGGAGCUCUGGGAGUGCGGGCUGGAAGCUGGCUUUCCACAGACCACUGCAGCUUCUCGUCCCCUCUGGGAACCCAGAGAGUGCUGGUGCUCAGGGAUUUUUUUUUCUCUUUACCACAGCUGAGGGCAGAAGAAGGGAAGUAGAGAUGGGGCCUGGAGGGAGGGAGCAGCUCUGUAUCCCAGGCUCACUGUAAUUACUUAGGUUUCAAGUAGCUGAUGUUCUGGUGGCUAGUUUCAAUCCCACUGCAUGCUGCUCAGCCUCCAGACACUGCCUACUAGACCAGACAGUGGGGCACCCUCAUUCCCCUCCUCACCCCCACUUGGGUGACUGCAGACCCUACAGGCUCUGAGGAGUCCUUUUAUAUCCCUCAGCUUAACCAUGUGGGCCUCUGGUGUCUUUUCUCCAAAAAGACAUUGUUUUUGUGUUGUCUGUAAAAACCCACGUUGGGCACCAGUCUGUCAGGCAGUGAAGUAGUCCUCUAGCAGGUGCAGGGCAGCUAACGGUACCUGUAGGUGCUGGAUGGGCUUGCCAUGCUUCCAGAGACCCAGAGAAGAAACAGCUGUAUGGAUUCAGACAGUUUCUCAUCUACACAGACAGCACAGGCAAGGUCAGUUCCCACAUGCUCUGUCCUACGGCGUAACACUGAACCGGGCGGCCAGGCGACAGACAGUGGGAGUGUGGGCCACUCAACCAUUGAGGGGCUGCCUCCAAAUUACAGCCAAGCAUUUUAUAGCUUGUAGCUAUCCCCUGAUUGGGCUGUGUGUGUAACUAGGAAGAUGGUUGAGAAAGGCCUUGUGGUGGCUCCUCACCAGCCUCCUCUCCCCUUGCUCCAAGGAGGAGUUCCUGGAUAUUCUUUGCUGACACUUAGGUCAGACUGCAGCCAAGCCUUGGCUAUAGGGCCUAUGUGGGGAUGUGCAAGGUCAGCAGGGUGCCAGGGCAGAGCCACAGCCAGUCCUCUACUCAACUGUUUCCAAACCAGAGAUCUGACAUUCCAUCAGCACACUGUCAGUCUAAGUCCACCAUGGGCUUUGAGAACAUCUGCUUCUCUCCCAUGUCUGGACACCCACUUAUGCAGGCCAGGAUCACCUCUCAGCUGGACACCUGCCCCAGCCUCCCUGGCCUUCCUGCUGCCUAUGCUGCCCCCACCCUAGCUCAUUCUCCAUGAAGCAGCAGGGGGAGCUUUGUAAAAUAAAACCCUGCCUUCAAAGGCUUCCCUGGAAGUGCACCUGGAAUAAGACUCCGGUCUCUUCACCUUGGCCCACAGGCCUGUCUCUGAGGUCACCCAGGAUGUCUGUCUGCCCCUGACAGUCCCUACCCUCUUGGCCUUCUGCAUUCCCACCGCUCUGGCUAAGCGCUCUUGAUGCUUCUGAGCGCACUGAUACUCUUUGACCUGUGUCCUCUGCCUGGAUUCGCCUCUGCCUUCCCCAAGCCGGCUUGCCCUUGCCCUUCAGGUUUCUGGCCUAAAUGCUGCUGCUGACAGGAGACUUCCCUGACCAGCUGUGUGCCCACAUUGGCCCCUCCCUACACUCUGUCACCAUGCAUGCUUUAUCCUUGAUGGUCUCCUGGCUACAGUUCCUGCUCCUUGCUGGACUGGGAACUCUGGGAGGGCAGGGAGAGACCUUGUCUGGGUGGGUGACUCCUUGACCCCCCAGGCCUUGAACAGUGCCUAGCACAAGGUCCAGCACUGAAUAAAUGACAACAAAGAAACCGUGGCUCCCCAAGCACCUUCUGUGAGACCCUGCCCACUCCCCACCCAAUCCCUAAAGCAUGCAUUAGGCCUCACAUCAGUUUAGUGAACACAGUAGCAAGGAGAGUCAAAGCAGUGGUCUCUUCCAGGUGUAGUACUCAGCAUGGGUGAUAAGGAAGGGUUCAGUUUGACUCCAGGAUGGGGCUUAAGCAACUAAGAACAUGAUUCAUGACACAGCUGAGGCUGGAGAGCCACGUCUAGGCCCCCUCAGGUCCCUACUCCAGUUUUAAACAGGAAUGUUCAUUCAGUGAGGCUGGGCAGGGGAACAGAGGGGCAAAGACUCCAAGCCAAGGGAGUAAGACCUGCUGGCCGUGGUAUUGGGGAGCAGGCAGCAUGUCCCUGAGACUCAGGGACCAAGGUUUGGGCUCUGCCUGGCACUGGUGGGGAGUGGGUAAGGAGAGAUUGAAGCAUUGUAUAUCUCUUUAAAUUCACACCCGAGGUUUGAAUAGGAAAUCCCCCAGCCCUGAUUGAUUAGUAAAUAGGGACCCAGGGAUGGAUGGGAGGUGGAGGCAGAAGAGGUCAGGAGGGGUGUAUAGCACAUGCCUUUUCCUGGAGUUGAGGUUAUGGGGUGGGAAGUCAGGGCCAGGGCAGUAGGGGACUGAAUAGCAAGGUUAUGUGGCUCUGGGUCCCAUGCUAAUUGGCUGCCCUCUUCAGCCCUGGGCUGAGCAGUCCCAUGGGCCUUGCCAGACAGCGUGGGGAGAGACAGAGCUAACCAGAGUGCAUGCGGUGCCCUUGGGUGGAGGCCGCUGGUGACGGGACAGAUGAGUAUUGCUCUGUCUACAGUGGGACAAUGACAUCUUCCUUUUCCUCUGCUGGCUUGAAAGGACCUGCAGAGGCUGGUUUGCCCAGGGUGGCACUGAGGCUCUUCCUCUGUGUUCUGAGGAGCUCGGUGCCCUCUGCACCCCGAGCUGCUAAUCCCACAGGGUGGCAACCUGGAGCUGGGCUGCUCUGUGCAUGGCAGGGAGGACACUGGGUCUGUGAGUGGGAAGAGGUGAGGACCACUGACAAAAAGCCAGCAGGCUUGCCACCUCUUACCCCGGUCCUUGACCUGUUACCCCAAAGCCUGCCAUUGGGGUGAACUCUUCCCUCCCACACAAGUGCUGUGAUCCUCUGAGAAGUGCUGGGGACCCUACUCAAGGGGGUGACAAUGGGAAGAGAGAGCACAUGGAAGGCACCUUGGCCUCAGGGAGCUGUGCACUUAAACCAAGCUCAAUGUCAGAAACCAAAAGAACCUGAAAAACCAGGUGCCAACAGCCCAGGGCACACCCCCAUGGGCAGCGCAGACACGCUGCUUGGGGUUGGCCCGCAACUGUCCCAGACCUAGUGCAGUGCUCCUUUAAUCAUUAGUUCGUGCAUUUCAUUCAGGUUUGGCCAAGAGUUGGUACCAGGCUCCAGGCAUCCUAGGGCUAAACAGGUGACAACAGGUGAGCUGAGAUUAACUCUGUACCAGCGAACCCUGUCAGAGCCUCAGGAAAGGCGACAUUGGCCCCGCUCACUGUAGAGAAAGAGCCUAGAAGACACUGUGGUCGGGGAAGAAGGGGGUGUGGGCUGUGCCUUGGCAGAAGGCGCCGUGGUACUGGGCCUUGAAGAAUUAGUUUGCCAGAUGGAGGGAUGGCACGCCCAGCAGAGGGAAAAGCUGGGAGGUGUGCAGGGGCCUGUAUCUCCAUGUAGAGAGCUGGGACAUGAGUCAAGGGGAGGCCAGGCAAAGUCAAAGUGAGAAAGAUCUGCAAAAAAGAGGGCUUUUCCCAUAGUACUGCUUUUCAGCCUCAACCUGAUUUUUUUCUCUGCCCUUGUGGUCAGGAGAAAUAUUUCCACCAAUUCUUUCACACUUUUCCCACCAAGACAUGGUGGCUACAGCCCCUCCCCUUAAACCUUGCUUGGCCUUUGACAAGUGGAGUUGGGGUGGGGGUGCUGUGUGCCUUCUGAGGCUGGGAAAAGGUCACAUGCCUUCUGCCUGCUCCCCUGGGACACAUGAUGGAGCCUUCAGCAACCCAGUGAGAAGUCACACCCCUGAGCUGCCACAGGCAGAGACCAUCGGGAACACAACAAUGGAGUAAUUGAUGCAGUGAGAGAGACAGUGAUUCCCAGCAGCCCAAAUAAAUACGGGGUCCGGUGUUUGGGUCUUUCAGCCCAGACCGUGGGCACAUGAAUGAGGACACGUUUGAGGAGACAGCAGCCUGGGCUGCCACCUGACUGGGACCUUAGGAGAUGCCCCUGAGCAUAGCUGCUGGGUUGAGAGCCCUGUCAACGCCAAAUUCUUGAGCAACACAAAUAACCACUCUUGUUUCAGGCUACUGUUUGGGUUGUCUUUUUAAUGUGGCAAUAGAUAAACAGAACAGUCCUCUUCCAUAUCUACUAUUUAUCAUUUAAUUAAAAACUUUUGUAUGCUUCAAAAAUUGGAAUGUAUUAAGAUGGGAAACUUAAUAUCCCUAUGUCUGUGGAAAUCCUUCAUCAAUGGCAGUAAAUGGAAGACAAUUCUAUGAAGAAAUACAGAGGAAACAGA